rnacentral:lncRNA from 1 species
GUUUUGGUUUUGGGGAACAUAUAACGUAUGGAAUAGAUGGGGAAUGUGAAGGUAUGGAAUAAAGAGCUUUCUAACUCUGUAACUAACCUUUAGUGAUCUCCUGAUUGCCUGAUGGGUUCUGCUCAAAUUGAGUCUUGAGAGAAGCUUCGCCCGUCGCCCAUCCUAAUUGAUUUUUUAUUAAAAGCAAUCCUGCCUAUGCCAUGUUCCAUGAAAUCUGGACUUGACUGUUAUAGCUCUGAUAAUUGCCCCUUUAAGAAACGGUCUUAAGGAAGCAAUAAGAGAUGUGAAAAAACUGCACAUCAGGGAUGCUCAGCGUUUACUGAGAGAAAAACUGGACAGGCUGACAAUAGCUCACAUACUUCGAGCUCUUGCACUCGCUGUGCGAGAUACUUCUGUGCGCAGCCUGGCAGUGAGCAGCGCCCUGGGAUCCAAGGCCUGAAGGAUCCUGAAUGUUCCAUGCUGCCCAACAGGUUGUUGGUCAUACUGGCUAGAUUACAUGGGGCACUGACAGGGAGACUGAGCACUCUCGCGCGCAAUGAGUCACUACCAGAAGGAUGGUCCAUGGGGGCGUUGCCGCGCACCAUCUAUUGCUUAUCCUCAGCGCACAGUAAUGCAGAGGACAGGGGUCCCCGAGGCAACUCCACACAGAUGAGGAAAAUGAAGCUUAAGGAAGUCAAGACAAGUGUUUAGAGUCACACACUCUAUGAGGAAACUGAGAGAGAAGAGUAGGAGAAGAAAAUCAGCGUCUUUGACCCAAUAAAUCGCCAUCCUCUGAACAGAAUUGAGAAUGGACAUUAAUUCCUUAAAAGGUGUUCUCUCUCUUGCCCUCCAAAAAAAAUCAAUGCCUUAUAAAAAUGUGAUCUUUGGCCUCUGCACUGAGUGCAGAAUUUAACUAGCAUAGAAAAAAAUGUGUUUGGCAGAAUUCACCUUCUUUUUAAAAGAGACAGAG